rnacentral:rRNA from 1 species
CACGUAGGCACCAAGCGUUGUCCGGAUUUAUUGGGCGUACAGAGCUCGUAGGCGGUUCAGUAAGUCGGGUGUGAAAACUCUGGGCUCAACCCAGAGACGCCACCCGAUACUGCUGUGACUUGAGUACGGUAGGGGAGUGGGGAAUUCCUGGUGUAGCGGUGAAAUGCGCAGAUAUCAGGAGGAACACCAGUGGCGAAGGCGCCACUCUGGGCCGUAACUGACGCUGAGGAGCGAAAGCGUGGGUAGCAAACAGG